GCUGCCGUAGCUCAGUGGUAGAGCACCCCCUUGGUAAGGGGGAGGUCGAGUGUUCAAUCCACUCCGGCAGCACCA
rnacentral:tRNA from 2 species